UACAGAGGUCCCAAGCGUUGCUCGGAUUCACUGGGCGUAAAGGGUGCGUAGGUGGUCGGGUAAGUCUGAUGUGAAAUCUCUGGGCUCAACCCAGAAAUGGCAUUGGAUACUAUUCGGCUAGAGGAGUGGAGGGGGGACUGGAAUACUUGGUGUAGCAGUGAAAUGCGUAGAUAUCAAGUGGAACACCAGUGGCGAAGGCGAGUCCCUGGACACUUCCUGACACUGAGGCACGAAAGCUAGGGGAGCAAACAGG
rnacentral:rRNA from 1 species